AUGUCAAUCCGAAGUGAUCGAGACUAGAAACAUCUUCAGUGAAUUAAACGUCGUAAAUGUCGCAGAUGAUGGGCUCACCUGCUGCACCAAAAUACAAAUGAUCGGCACCUGAUCGAUAUCAUCGACACCCGUCCCAGCCUCUCCUGCUCUAUUGUCUCACCUGGCUUCUGAAGACAUGUUGGCGGUUAAUGGAAGAAGGCACCUGCCGAAAAUGAGAGCACAUAGAUAGAACAUCAAGCAAUCCAACAAACUUAUAGAAAUCGGCACCUGGUGAAACGACAUAUCAAGAAUUCGCUAUAGGCGAGGCCUUUGCCCUCAAAACAUAUUCAUCAUCAAGAAGCAAGCAGUAGCAUAUAGUAAUGUUAUCAACAAAAGAACAUUUUACCUUUUCCCAACCCCAGCCCGAAAAUAAUCGUUUGCUACUUCCAUUGUUUCGAGUGGUCAAUGAUCAGGAGCUGCUGAGUUUUGCUGGAAGCCCUUCAAACAAGACUUCAUCUUAGAAAAGUUUUACAGCUGUCAGUUUGUUUUCUAUCACUUUAGAACAGUUAAUUUUUACACUUUAUUGAUAGGAACAGAAGGUUCUGGAAGAUAAGGUAAGACACAUUCCAGCAAUUGCAAAUUCUCUCUGUCAAAUACUGUUCUGUCCAAUAUAGAAAGCCUAGAGUCCAAGGGCACUCUAACCCAAAUAAUGUAGAAAAUUCAAUUUGCUAAGCAUUCAAAAUGUAAGUGCAUUAUGUUAAACUUAUUUAUGCUUGUUCUGAAAAAAGAAACAACAACAUAAAACUAUUCAGUAAUUAUGAAAAAAAUUAC